GGGGGUGUCGUCCAGCGGCCAGGAUGCGCGGCUUUCAAUCGCGCGACGAGAGUUCGAUCCUCUCCGCCCCUA
rnacentral:tRNA from 1 species